rnacentral:lncRNA from 1 species
CUUGGAAUGCUGCCCUCCUCGACCUUCAUUGGAUGGAAUUUUUCCCUGAAUUUCUUGUUCUCCAAUAAAAGGCCACUCCCUGGAGUGCUCUCUCUCUCUCUCUCUCUCUCUCUCUCUCUCCCUCUCCUGUUAGUCCUGAGUAAACCUCGCUGCUCCACCAGGUGGCUUGAGGCAGGAGCCAGAGGGGAGAGCUGUCUUGGUCCUGGUCAUAGAAAAAGGUAAUUGAGUCUGUGUGUUUAUUUCGAUUUCACUAGUUAACUUCUAUGCUACAAACCUCUUACAUGAAACCAGCGUGCUGGUCGCGCGGUGGAAUUGCCACCCAACGUGGGGCAUUUUAGCUUAAUUAGAUUGAGAGGGAGCGCGCUAUAAAGAUAAAGGAAUUGGUGACAAUUUUGGGUCACAAAAGUAUCUGGAGGUACUGAAGGAACGAGACGUUAAAUUAUUUAAAAUGGGAAAUUCAACUUCUAUGGAUAAGGAGAUGUAUCUGACUAUUCUAGACACCAUAAUUAAUCAGAAAGGAAAACAGAUUAAAAAAACUCAGUUAUUACAAUUCUUAAAGGUUGUAGGCGAAUUUUGCCCUUGGUUUUGUGAACAAGAAUCCCCAAAUUUACUUACUUGGGAGAAACUAGGGAGGAAAUUACAAAAAGUUUGCCUUUCUAAUGAAUUACCUGGAGGCAUAGAAAAUAUACAGCAAACAUGGACUGCUCUGGAAAUUUGUCUUUUUGAAUAUAUAGGCCAGAGUUCAUGGCCCCCUGAAGAUCUAUUGAAAGGCAUUCAGAGAGCUAUUAGGUCUAUUCAAAUAGAAAAUCCGCCUGAGGCUAAGUUAAUUUCUUUUCCCUUGAGCCAUUUAAAAACAAAAGCUCUUAGGGCUAAACCAAAAGUUAGGAAUGUGACUUUAAACUUGCAAGAAUGAGAUCAAGGUAGCCUGCAGAAAGAUUAUAGAGAGGAAGGUCAUAGAGAGUAAACCUCCAUAGUCAUAGAGAGUCCUCCGGAAGAGAUAGACGAUCCUCCUGGAGAGGAAAAUCUGGAAGAAAUUCUUAGAGAGGCACAGAGCCCUUCUACACCAUGUGGCUUAGAAGCCCAAUUUCAAAAUGGUGACAGCAGAGAUUCUUCCCACGAGUCGCAGUCUGAGGGAGAGGAAUCAGACAUUUAAAUUCAGGACUUACGGAGAAAUUUUAACAGACUGCGUUUAACACCGCCUGCCCAGGCUAUUAGAAUUCGGCCAUUAUCUGCUAUUAGGACAAAAUUUAACAGGUACUCUGAAUUAACAAUGACUUUUCUUACCCCGUUCCAGCGAGGUAUUAAGAAGGCACAGGAGGCAGGGGAAGACAUUAGCGGUUUUCAACUUUUCCCAGUUUUUGAACAGGUUAUUGACCAAGACCAGAGAGUUCGAGUUCAUGCUGUAAUUCCAUUUAAGACUAUUAAGGAAUUGAAAAGUGCUUGUGAGACAUAUGGUCCGAAUACACCUUUUGUACAAAACUUAAUUGAUACCAUCUCCUCACAACCACUUCCACCGAGUGAUUGGAUUUCGUUAGCCAGAUCUUGUUUGAGUGGGGGGGAUUUCUUACUUUGGUGAUCUUAUUGGGCUGAUUUUUGUACUGAACAAGCAGAAAAGAAUAGAAAACAAAAUUUACAGACCCCAGUAGAAAUGUUUUUAGGAACGGGUGAAUUUGCUGAUUUGGAGAGACAGUUAAAUUAUUAAUUUGUAGUGUAUGAUCAGAUAACUGACUGUGCUAAACGUGCCUGGAAACAAAUAGUUUCCAAGGACCAGUCCAAUUUAGUUCUUACCAGAGUCAAGCAAGGUGCCAGGGAGCCAUAUUCGGAUUUUGUAGCCCGAUUGUAUCAGACAGCAAAUAGGUCUAUCGGAGACCCAGCAGCGUGUGAGUUUAUUGUUAAGCAAUUGGCAUUUGAAAAUGUGAAUAAAUAUUGUCAGUAUGUUCUUAGACCGCAUCGUAAAAAAGGAACAGUUUCUGAGUUUAUCCGCUUUUGUUCUGAGAUUGAUUCUACCCAUUUGCAGACAGUAACGCUAGCCGCAGCCCUGAAAGAAACCCUAAAACCGCAGGAAUUAGUACGAAAACCCCACGGAAGAUGCUAUCUCUGCGGGAGAAAUAAUCAUUUUGUGCGAGAAUGCUGUACUCGUAACUUUAAGUUCAGGGCUCCAUCUACUGUUGAUAAUAGGUAUUGCAGGACUCAACCCCACGUGGCAGAUCAAAAUGGCGUGGAUCAGCCCGCCUUCUCGCCUUCAUUUCCUCCUAGCGGGAGAACAAACAACUUCCGGUUGGCCCCUCCCCGGGCCAAGCAAAAAUAUGGGGAAUUCGAGGAGGGAUCACACAGUGUGACGUCACUGGCGCUGACCAGGACAGCCCACCAUUUUUACUGGUACAUAAAUCACAGACAGUUUCCUUAGAACCCUCAACAACAAUUGAAUUGAAUCCUGAAUCAGGGCCAAAACAAAUCCCUACUGGGAUUUUCGGGCCACUUCCUGAUAAUACUAUAGGUUUAAUUUUGGAACGUAAUAAUUUAAAAGGAGCCAUUGAGGUAAUACCUGGAGUGAUAGAUUCAAAUUUUAAAGGACAAUUAAAUGUUACUGUAAGGUCCAAUUAUGCCCUAAGGCUUAUUCCAAAGGAUGCAUUUGUCCAAUUGAUUUUAUUGCCCUGUGAUUCAGAUAAACACCCGCAAGUAAAUUCAGUUUCUAAACCGCCAGACAGAGUGUACUGGUUUCAGUUAGUGCGACAAGAGCACCCUUUAUUGUAACUUAAAAUUAAUCAUAAAAAUUUCAAAGGAAUUCUCGACACAGGUGCAGAUAUUUCUGUCUUUUCUAGUAGAUUCUGGCCUAGGAAUUGGCCCUUACAUGUAGCACCAGCUAACCUAGAGGGAAUUGGACAAAUUUCACAGCCUGCUCAAAGUGCAAAUUAUCUCUGUUGGGAAGAUUCUGAUGGGAACUGUUAAAAACUCCUUUAAACAGUUUAAAAACAGUUUAAAGGAGUUUUUAAACCUUAUGUGUUAGAGUCUUUACCAGCAAACCUAUGGGGAAGGGAUAUUUUAGCAAAAAUGGGAUUGUUAUUAGUAACUCCAAAUUCUAUAAGGUCAAUUGAGGAAGUUAAUCAGAGGUAUUUUCCUGGAGACGAUAAGGAGACCUUUCAGGGAGAGUAUCUGUUUACAAACCAGUCUCCAUGACAAAGAUUAGUAAAUGCUCCAAGCCAAAAUUUUUACUAGGGGCCCUGAGUAUUUGCCCGAUCCCUAAGCAGCUGAAAAAAUUACCUGGAUCACAGAGGAGCCUAUAUGGAUUUCUCAGUGGCCCAUCUCAGGGGAAAAACUUAAAAUAAUUCAUAGGUUAGUUGAGGAACAACUUCGGGCUGGUCAUAUAGAACCAACACUCAGUCCUUGGAACACACCUAUUUUUGUUAUUAAGAAAAAGUCAGGAAAUUGGAGAUUUCUACAGGAUUUAAGGGCAACAAAUCAUGCAAUUCAGCCUAUGGGAUCAUUACAGCCAGGACUUCCUUCCCAGACAGCCAUCCCUUUAAACUAUAGCUUGAUGGUAAUAGAUUUAAAAGAUUGUUUUUUUCUCUAUAAGGUUACAUCCUGGAGAUUAUGAGAAAUUUGCCUUCACUGUCCCAGCAAUUAAUUUUAAGGAACCUGUUAAAAGAUAUUGCUGGAAAGUACUUUCCCAGGGAAUGCGUAAUAGUCCUACCUUAUGCCAAAAAUAUGUAGACCAGGCGAUAGCUCCCAUAAGAAAUAACUUUCCUGAUGCGUAUAUUAUUCAUUUUAUGGAUGAUAUAUUAUUGGCUCAUGCUAAUCCAGAGGUACUUUCAGAAAUUUUUACUCAGUUAGAGGCUUCACUUAUAGCAAUGGGUUUAUGCAUUGCUCCUCAAAAAAUUCAAAAGAUGCCUCCCUUUCAAUAUUUAGGUCAGAUAAUUCAAGGACAUACAAUCCGUCCUCAAAAUCUUCAGAUAAGAGUUAAGGAGUUACAUACCCUUAAUGAUUUUCAAAAGCUAUUAGGAGAUAUUAAUUGGCUGAGGCCAUCCUUAAAACUAACUACUUUUCAGUUAAGUCCUUUGUUUCAGAUAUUACAAGGAAAUCCUUCUCCAACCUCUCCAUGUCAGCUGAACUUAAAGGCUAGAACAGCCUUUAAAAGGGUUGAAAAUGCAAUUAAAAAUGCACAACUUACUAGAGUUGAUCCUAAGGAAAUAGUGUAUUUAUUAAUAUUUCCAACUGAGCAUACCCCAAAAGGAGCCAUAUGGCAAAGAUUAGGAGUUAUUGAGUGGAUUUAUUUAUCCCACUCCCCUCAAAAAACAUUGAUUCCUUUUCAUGACUCUAUUGGUCAAUUAGUAAUUAAAGGUAGAACUAGGAUUUUACAAUUAAGUGGAUCUGAGCCUGAUAUCAUAAUUAUUCCAUUUUCUGUUCAACAGACUAAUUGGCUUUUUCAAACUUCUAGCUUAUGGCAGAUAGCUUUUGCUGAUUUUCCUGGCCAGAUAGAUAGCCAUUACCCUCAUUAUAAGAUUAUCCAAUUUGCAUCAUUAACGUCACUUAUUUUUCCAAAGAUUGUGCGUGCACGUCCUAUAGAUGAAGCUUUAUCGGUGUUCACUGAUGGUUCAAGCUCAGGUAAAGCAGGUUUUUAUAGUCAUGUUCACACAGAGGUAAUGCAAACUUCACAUACUUCUGCCCAAAGAGCAGAGCUUCAAGCUCUGAUUUGUGCCUUAAAUUACUUUUCAAAUGAGCCUAUUAAUAUUUAUUCUGACAGCUUAUAUGCAGUUGGAGUUACCAAAAAUAUUGAAACUUCAGUUAUUGGGUAUACUUCAUCACAAGAGUUAUUUGAAUUAUUUCAUAAUUUACAGAAGGCAGUGCUAAUGUGAAAAUACCCAUGUUUCAUAGAACACAUACGGGCUCAUACUAAUCUUCCAGGACCUUUAGUUUCAGGUAAUGACAAAAUUGAUAAAUUAGUAGCUUUUUGUCAACAGAUGUCUUCAUAUGACUGUGCACAAGCUUCCCAUUCCUUGCAUCAUCAAAAUGCUUCUAGCUUACGUAAAAAAUUUAAUAUUACCAGAGAACAAGCUCGUCAAAUUGUAAGCCAAUGCCCUAAGUGUGUUAUUCACACUCCAUCUCCACCAUCAGGGGUAAAUCCCUGUGGAUUAAAACCAAAUCAAAUAUGGCAAAUGGAUGUAACUCAUAUUCCUCAAUUUGGUAAGCAAUGUUAUGUACAUGUCAUAGUUGACACAUAUUCCAGAUUUAUUUUUGCCACAGCACGUACUAAGGAAAAUACUCAACAUGUAAUUUCUCAUUGCCCAGCAGCUUUUUCUGUGUUAGGGUGCCCUAUGCAGAUUAAAACAGAUAAUGCACCAGCUUAUGUAAGCUCUUCUUUUCAACAAUUUUGCCAAGAGUUUCAAAUUAAUCAUAAAGCAGGAAUUCCUUAUAACCCCCAAGAUCAAGCCAUUGUGGAAAGAGCUCAUUUAUCUAUUAAGCUUCAAUUACAAAAAUUAAAAGGGGGGAAUAGGUUUAUGACUCCCCCAAAUAGCCUCAAUCAUGCCUUGUUCAUUUUAAAUUUUUUAAACUGUGACAUAGAAGGCCACACUGCGGUUGAGAGGCAAAUGUCUCCCUCAGUAACAGGCCUUUUAGGCAGAGUUUUGUGGAAAGAUUUACAGACUGGUCAAUGGAAAGGCCCAGAUCCAGUGAUUAUGUGGGGCAGAGGUCAUGCUUGUAUUUUUCCAGAAGGUGCUUUUUGUCCUAUCUGGGUGCCUGAACGUGCAAUCAGACAUGGAAGAGAUAGAACCGAGAUUCAAGCGACUGAAGAUCGACCCAGAGAAGCCCCCAUCCAAAAGGAAGAGAUAUUGGAAAAAGACAAAGAUAAACCAGAUUGACCCAGCCAAAAAGCUGAUUUCAUGGGAAGAUGUGAAGAAGCUAAUAACACAGGCUGCCUGAAUAAUUCGACUCCUAGGAAAGAACAGGACCCCAGUCUUGCUGGGCUGCCAGGUAAAGGGGAACCAGAUAGACACUUACUGGACAUAUUUCCCAGAUCCACCCCUGGUACAUCUAGCUGUGUGGACUGGAGAAUCUAUUCCAGUGUUUACUAAUGACUCAUUCAUGAUGGGAGGAUUUACAGAUACUCAUAUUACUCCCAAUCAUGUGACUAGAUUUAAUUAUUCUGGCUACAGUGCCCAAUUACCUUUGUGUUGGUCCCACGAUAAACAUGCUGGCUGGCUGAAAGUAUCAUUCAAGGAAAAGACAGCAAUUGGUAGACCUAGACUGACAAAUUAUUCUAUUUAUGGAGACAUAAAACCUUAUACUAGAUCAGUAAUUAAGAUGGGACUUUCCCAUAACAAGCCAGUCAUUUCUGCAAAACCUCCAUGGAUACCCCACUGUCCAAAUAGUUCUACAAUUGAUAUUGGCACAUUUCCUAGAUGGAUGGAUUGUGUAAAUACUUUUCCUGUACAACAUAAGGUGUCCAAAGAUAGUGGGUAUAUUUUAGACUGGUCUCCAAAAAUUGAUAAAAGACAAUUAUGAAAAAAUUCUGCUAUGACACCUGCAGGAUUUGUUAGUAAUAUUUUGACUUACAGUGAGGGUGGUAUUCAAAAGGAUGUUUGGCGCUUAAUUGCUGCCUCAGAAUUCUUACAUUUUACAGACAAACCUUUACCAAAAUUUGUUGGCAAGAACUAUAAGGAGGGAUCUUGCUAUGGCUUACGAGCCUGUGUCCAAUCUCCUUAUGUUUUAAUUAUUGGAAAUGUAAAAGUUAAAUGGAUAGAUGACAGAUAUAUUGUUACUUGUAACAAAUGUAACCUAACCAAUUGUAUUACUAGGUAUAAUGGAGGAAAAGGAGUGCUGAUACUUCAUCAGCCCUCUUUUGUUUUAUUACCUGCUAAUAUUUCAGAGCCAUGGUUUGCUGAUACUGGUUUAAAAGUCUUGCAGCAAAUUCAUGCCCAGCUAGCAAGACCUAAACGUGCUAUUGGAAUUAUAAUUGUUGGUGUUUUGGCGUUAGUCUCUUUCAUUGCAUCCACUGUUUCUGCGUCUCUGACAUUGUCUCAAAAUAUUCAGCAUGCAAAAUUUCUUAAUAAUUUAGCUCAAAAUACUUCCAAGGCUCUGCGUAAUCAAGUAAAUAUUGAAGAAAGGAUUGAGACUAAAUUAAACGCCUUAGAGGCGACUGUUAUAGACAUAGGUAGUGAACUUUCAGCUUCAAAAUUUAAAGAAAGGCUUAAAUGCCACGCAAAUUAUAAAUAUGUGUGUGUUACAGCUGCCAAGUACAACGCUUCUCUCUGGGAUUGGGAGAAGGUUAAAAACCAUUUGUUAGGUAUUUGGGAAAAUAAUAAUAAUAGCUUGGAUCUUUUGGAACUUCAUCACCAUAUCCAAGACAUUCAAAAUAAUAGAGCUGAUUUUUCGGAUCCUUCUUCUUUGGCUAACCAAAUAUUGAAGGAGUUAAAUGGAUUUAACCCUGGAAAUAUUCUUAAACACUUGGCCUGGUACAUUAUUGGAUUGUUCUCUUUGCUGUUAAUUCUCUUUUGUGUUGUAAUUAUAGGAUGGAGAGUCUUCAGAACAAGAAAGCAGAAACUCAAAAGAGUGAACCACCGCCUGAUUUUUAAGAGAAAAAAGGGAGAAUAUGUGGGAAGCCAUUCUCACACGUCAUUGGGCACCUCCCUGAUUAUGUGUGAGGCAUUCUGGCCAAACUGUGUCGGAGCUAAUCCCCACCCUCUCCAGGUGAAAGAGCCUGUCUGAGUGGGGGUGUGACUGACCAUUGACCCUGAGGCCAAUCACUGACCCUGACCUUGUAAUGCUGCCCCCCCUUGACCUUCAU